GAUGAACGCUGGCGGCGUGCUUAACACAUGCAAGUCGAACGAAGCACCUUGAUUCGAUUCUUCGGAUGAAGAUCUUGGUGACUGAGUGGCGGACGGGUGAGUAACGCGUGGGUAACCUGCCUCAUACAGGGGGAUAACAGUUAGAAAUGACUGCUAAUACCGCAUAAGACCACAGCACCGCAUGGUGCAGGGGUAAAAACUCCGGUGGUAUGAGAUGGACCCGCGUCUGAUUAGGUAGUUGGUGGGGUAACGGCCUACCAAGCCGACGAUCAGUAGCCGACCUGAGAGGGUGACCGGCCACAUUGGGACUGAGACACGGCCCAAACUCCUACGGGAGGCAGCAGUGGGGAAUAUUGCACAAUGGGGAAACCCUGAUGCAGCGACGCCGCGUGAGCGAUGAAGUAUUUCGGUAUGUAAAGCUCUAUCAGCAGGGAAGAAAAUGACGGUACCUGACUAAGAAGCACCGGCUAAAUACGUG
rnacentral:rRNA from 1 species